GACGAACGCUGGCGGCGUGCUUAACACAUGCAAGUCGAGCGGUAAGGCCCUUUCGGGGGUACGACGAGCGGCGAACGGGUGAGUAACACGUGGGUGACCUGCCCUCCAGCUCUGGGAUAAGCCUGGGAAACCGGGUCUAAUACUGGAUAUGACUCCAUGACGCAUGUUGUGGGGUGGAAAGCCUUGUGCGGCUGAGGAUGGGCCCGCGGCCUAUCAGCUUGUUGGUGGGGUGAGGCCUACCAAGGCGACGACGGGUAGCCGGCCUGAGAGGGCGACCGGCCACACUGGGACUGAGACACGGCCCAGACUCCUACGGGAGGCAGCAGUGGGGAAUCUUGCGCAAUGGGCGGAAGCCUGACGCAGCGACGCCGCGUGAGGGAUGACGGCCUCGG
rnacentral:rRNA from 1 species